CUUGAAACACGGACCAAGGAGUUUAGCGUGUACGCAAGUCAUUGGGUGUAUAAAACCCAAAGGCGAAAUGAAAGUAAAGAGUUGAGAUUUGUAGAAAAGUUUACUUUUUUACAAUUUUCCUCUUUAGGGAAGAUGGGAAUAUCAUGCAGUAAUGUAUGAAGAUUUCCCGCAUUCCCAGGGCGCUUGUUUCUUGCUUUGCGAGUCUAUGCGCACCUAGAGCGUACACGCUGAUACCCGAAAGAUGGUGAACUAUGCCUGGCCAGGACGAAGCCAGGGGAAACCCUGGUGGAGGUCCGCAGCGAUUCUGACGUGCAAAUCGAUCGUCGGAGCUGGGUAUAGGGGCGAAAGACCAAUCGAACCAUCUAGUAGCUGGUUCCCUCUGAAGUUUCCCUCAGGAUA
rnacentral:rRNA from 1 species